rnacentral:rRNA from 1 species
AUGAGGAUUACUCCUUCCUCUCGACGGCCUGUCCACCCCGACCUCCUGCCUCGCCUGGUCCAUAGAGGCCGCCGCCAGCGCGCGGAGGUGGCCAGCGGCGAGCAGAGUCUGAAACUCGUGUUCAAAAGUUCCUCGUCUCCCAGAGGGUUUUUGAAAAUGCCGAGGAGGAAGAAGAGCCGGUUGGAUCCAGUUGCAGGCGGCAGGCAGAUAGCCAGUAAGGCACAGGUUGAUGGAACUAAGCAGGCAUCGCCACACGCCAUUUGUAAGCUCUACGAGCACAUCAACGAAGGCCAACGCGUUGCUGUCAGAGCCAUGGGGACUGGGCCGCUCCUGGACAUCAAGUGUGCAUACUUACACAACACUGUCCUAACAUGGUUCACAAGGUUGUACCAUUCAGGAAGGAGAGGGUUUGUCGUGCCCGGACGCGGGUUCAUUCCACUGACCGAGGAGUCUGUAUAUCAUAUUCUGGGCAUCCCUCGUGGAGAUAUCGAGGUCAAGUAUGAAGCCGACUAUGACAUGGAACAGGAGUUCGCAGCUAGUUUGUUUCCGGGCGAUGGCAGCACGCCAAAGAUCACGACAGUUGCUACUGCAAUCAUUAACCAUAACGAGGCUGAUGAUAGAUUCAAGAAGUUAUGGCUUAUUUACAUUGUCUCAACCGUGUUGGCCCCUACGACCGAUGCACGGAUCAGCAACAAGUGCUACCCCAUGCUGGCGGAUAUCAACCGGGCAGACAGGUUGAACUUGUGCAAAUUUGUCGUGGACCAGCUCCACGAGCACCUCUCAAAGGGGAAGUACACAAAUGGGUGCUUACUUUACUGCAUGCUAAGGUACCUCGAUGCUUUGGAUUGUGAUGGCAUGGAGCUUGAGUUAACUGACACACCAUAUAGAGUAAACGCAUGGUCCAGGACCCAGGUUGAUGUUGUCGCUGAGCUGGACAUGUUAGAGCAUGAUCCACCCUGUUUUGGUAAACUUCAGCUAAAGGAAGAAUUCAGAGAGGAGGCUGCUAGUGGAUCAGGCACAAGCACAUUGGGUUCGGAGGCCCUGGUGGCUUCGAAACCUGGAUGA